CCUACGGGAGGCAGCAGUGGGGAAUCUUGGACAAUGGGCGCAAGCCUGACGCAGCAACGCCGCGUGAAGGAAGAAGGCUUUCGGGUUGUAAACUUCUUUUAUUGAGGACGAAACAAAUGACGGUACUCAAUGAAUAAGCCACGGCUAACUACGUGCCAGCAGCCGCGGUAAUACGUAGGUGGCAAGCGUUCUCCGGAUUUACUGGGUGUAAAGGGCGUGUAGGCGGGACUGCAAGACAGAUGUGAAACCCAUGGCCUAAACCUAUGGCCUGCAGUUGAAAUUGUAGUUCUUGAGUGAUGGAGAGGUAGGCGGAAUUCCGUGUGUAGGGGUGAAAUGCGUAGAUAUACGGAGGAACACCAGUGGCGAAGGCGGCCUGCUGGACAUUAACUGACGCUGAGGCGCGAAAGCGUGGGGAGCAAACGGGAUUAGAUACCCGGGUAGUC
rnacentral:rRNA from 1 species